rnacentral:rRNA from 1 species
CUGGGGGCGUGCUUACCAUGCAAGUCGGACGGCGGGCGCAAGCCUGCAGUGGCAGACGGCUGAGUAACACGUGAGGACCUGUCCAGUUGAGGGGGAUAGCCGCUCGAAAGAGCGGGUAAUACCGCGUAAGCCAGAGACGCGUAAGGUGUUUUUGGGAAAGCGGAGGGGAGACUCUCUUGCGCGACUGGAGGGACUCGCGGCCCAUCAGGUAGUAGGUGAGGUGACUGCUCACCUAGCCGAUGACGGGUAGCUGGUCUGAGAGGAUGGCCAGCCAGACUGGGACUGAGAGACGGCCCAGACUCCUACGGGGGGGCAGCAGGGGGGGAUCUUGGUCAAUGGGGGAAACCCUGAACCAGCGACGCCGCGUGAGGGAAGAAGGUCUUUGGAUCGUAAACCUCUUUUGCCAGGGAAGAUGAUGACGGUACCUGGCGAAUAAGCCCCGGCUAACUACGUGCCAGCAGCCGCGGUAAUACGUAGGGGGCGAGCGUUGUCCGGAUUUACUGGGCGUAAAGAGCGCGUAGGCGGUCUGAAGAGUCGGCUGUGAAAUCUCUGGGCCCAACCCAGAGGGGUCGGCCGAGACCUUUGGACUUGAGGGUGGUAGAGGAAGGUGGAAUUCCGGGUGUAGUGGUGAAAUGCGUAGAGAUCCGGAGGAACACCAGUGGCGAAGGCGGCCUUCUGGGCCAUACCUGACGCUGAGGCGCGAAAGCGUGGGGAGCGAACCGAAUUAGAUACUCGGGUAGUCCACGCCCUAAACGAUGGACGCUAGGGUGUCGGGGGGUAUCGACCCCCCCGGUGCCCGAGCGAACGCAGUAAGCGUCCCGCC